CAUUUGGUUUAAGCUGAAUGUGUUGGCGUGUGUGUGUGUGUGUGUAUGUCGAGAUGAUGGCAAGAUGAUGGCAGCAGCUCCGGUUGAUUUUAGUCGAGUGUACAUCAGAAUGAAACUAAGGAAGAGAAAUCACAACAACUGACGUUCAACACAUAUCAAAUCAACUUCGAACAAAACGAUAAAUCGUCUUGUCUUCAAAUGAUUUAAUUGCAUUCAGGUGCUGUUGUAUUUGAUUCGAGAAUUGACAUAAAACAUAAUUUUUGAUGGCGCUUAAAGGCGGUACCGAUAUUCGACUGUUGAUAAAAACACAGCAAUGCAACAUUCAUAAUACAUAUUGUAGCAGUCAAAAUAAUUUUCCAAGGAAUGUGACUGACUGCCUGUGACUGUGCUCAGCAUGUUUUUACAAAUUGGAUUUGGUGCACGAUGCAAACGAAACAUGAUUGAUACCACUGGAGCUUUCAAUUGGAGUACGUUAAUUAUGUUGAAAUUUAACUUAUUUUAAUUGAGAGCUUCGGUGUCUUGGUCAAAAUUCAACGUAACGUAAUAUCGUUUUCCCCU